rnacentral:snoRNA from 1 species
CUGCACGUGUAUCAUAGGCCUCUCUUAACUCCAAUAGUUUGGCCAUGAGCUAGGGUGCAUAAAGUAAAAGCUGUUCUAUCAGCAGUGGCCAGACAACCGUAGAGAUGGAUCCACAGGUGAAUGGCUCAAAUGUCACUCGUCUACUGAUUUCAUCUACAGUU